CCUACGGGGGGCUGCAGUGGGGAAUAUUGGACAAUGGGGGGAACCCUGAUCCAGCCAUGCCGCGUGUGUGAAGAAGGCCCUCGGGUUGUAAAGCACUUUCAGUGAGGAAGAACGCCUGGUGGUUAAUACCCAUCAGGAAAGACAUCACUCACAGAAGAAGCACCGGCUAACUCCGUGCCAGCAGCCGCGGUAAUACGGAGGGUGCGAGCGUUAAUCGGAAUUACUGGGCGUAAAGCGCGCGUAGGUGGCUUGAUAAGCCGGUUGUGAAAGCCCCGGGCUCAACCUGGGAACGGCAGCCGGAACUGUCAAGCUAGAGUGCAGGAGAGGAAGGUAGAAUUCCCGGUGUAGCGGUGAAAUGCGUAGAGAUCGGGAGGAAUACCAGUGGCGAAGGCGGCCUUCUGGACUGACACUGACACUGAGGUGCGAAAGCGUGGGUAGCAAACAGGAUUAGAUACCCCAGUAGUC
rnacentral:rRNA from 1 species